rnacentral:snRNA from 1 species
GUAUUCACUUCAGCAGCACAUAUACUAAAAUUGGAAUGAUACAGAGAAGAUUAGCAUCACCCCUGCACAAGGAUGACAUGCAAAUUCAUGAAGCAUUCCAUAUUUAA